rnacentral:ncRNA from 1 species
GCUUGUUCGAAUUUGCGACAUGAAUUGUAAGACUGAAUAAUUAUUUGUGUGUGUGUUGUGGUGGAGGCGAUUGUGUCGUCACCAGUUGUUGUUGUGUGCAGUUGUCGUAUGUUUUCGAAAGGGAAUCCGGUUGAUAUUCCGGAACCGAGUAACGGAGACAAAGAGUAGCGCUUUAAUCUCUCUGUGGGGUUGGCGUUCAACUCAAUCGCGCGGUAACGCAAGCGAACUCGGAAAAUGACCGUCGUGAGUUUCGAAAAGAGUUUUCUUUUCUUUUUAAGGGACGCAUUCCCUGGAACCGGGUUGUCCGGAGAUAGGGAUUCUGGUAUCCAUAAAACGCCGACUUUUUCACGGUGUUCGGACCGCUCUCGUCGGGACUGGAACAUCCGAGCGACUUCUGAAUUCCCCCCCACUUGGUCGCACUGAUAUCCGCAA